ACUGAGCUGCUGAUACUUAACACAAGCCACACAAAUCCUCUAUUGACAAACUAGUGUCAAGCAUUAACUAAGUAAACAUGAGAUGGUAAUCGACCCUAUUAACUUUCUUAAAGGGAUAAUUCACCCAAAAAUAAAAAUGUUUCCUCCACUGAAUAAAAAACCCUCACAACUCUGACAAACCCGCAAUCCUGAUUUUUUUUUUUCUCUCAGAAUUGCAUUAUAAAAACUCUGAGCUGUGAGCUGUCCAAUUCUGAGGGGGAAAUAAUAAUAUAGAUAGACACAACUGCAAGAAACUCACAAUUCUAAGAAAAAAAUGUCAGAAUUGUAUGUUUAUUUAAAAUGCAAUUCUGAAUUGUGACUAUUUCUUAGAAUUGCAAAUUUACUUCAUGCAGUUCUGAGAAAAAAGUCAGAAUUGCGAGUUUAUAUCUCACAAAUCUGACUUUAUAACUCGUAACUGUGAGUUCAUAUAUAUCGCGAUU